UCACCUGACUUUGAUCAGUUAGUGUCCUGGCCACCGUACUGAUUAAGGCAUCGUACCCGAUGUAUGGGAUGCAUUUGAUCAAUUGCUUGAACGUCGAGGCAACUGGGUCCUCACAGGUCAGUGCAUGCAAGCAGAUUUCGAAUGUCGACAUCGAGCGGGUCACACCCAACGCCACGGAAUCAAGUGAACGCUGAAUAUGGCUAAUGUUAUCUCUAUUUCUGUCUGUGUGGCUGUGACCAUUUACCGUACAAAGGUGGCCCUAUGGACGGGACGAAUGGCACACGCAGCGGCAAUAGUGAUUCAACCUGUUUGACCUAUCGAUGGUUCCGUUCGCUACCGUUUACGAUGCCGGUCGAUUUGGCAAACGUAUUGACAGACAAGGUCCAAAAGCAAAUGCUAAGUUGUCAUCACGACUAUCAGAGUAGGAAAAAGAGACGUAAAAAUUUACCAACCGUGACAGCUGGUUAUUGCCUGACGAGUACGAGAUGUUACUGCAGAUGUAAAAAAUGACACAUGGUUGAGCGUGCAUUUAAUAUCAGUUAGCGCGAAGAAAAUGCCGGCGUGUGUUACUACGACAAUGGAUCUGCAAUCAGCCAAAACGCUCAUGUCAAGACCGCCGAAAUCUUCCACCGCAAACAGAAGGGAUGCAGAUCUAUUUGAGAGCUUUUACAGCCGAACAGAUUUCCUGCAUAGAUGCUUCCAAUGAUCGUGAUCAAGAAACUGCCGUUUGCUGACGCCGAUCAUCAUGAUGAGGGCGCGUGAAGUCUAGCUUCUAAACAAGUUGCCGCCGCUACCGCUUCUGCCAUAUCGAAGCAAAGAGGAAAAAAUGCCGAGAAGACAACGGGUUCUGGAGAGGGCGGGGAAGUUUGCUGUUCAUCUUUUAUUACAAAUGCGACCAACUACAUAACACUCAAGAACGACUAUCGACGACAACAUCAGCGCCAAGUGCGUCAACAGCGCAAAUAUUCAGUGAAGGCGAUUAUCUGAGAAGUUAACUUGAGUCAACCAUACGUAAAGAAUACACUUAUGCGAUUGCUGGGGUCUUCGACGACGAGGGCCGCUUUCAGUCAGGUGGCGUCAAACUAAAUAUAAAAGUAACUAUCGAAAACUACAUGGACCCCUAUCGAGGUGAUAUAUUAUUUCGUCGCAUGAUAAUAUGAAGAUCUCAUCUGCAGCAGACAAAUAUAAGGUCCUGUACAAUUAAGCCCCACAAUCAGACAUGCUUUCUGUUCUCUGAGACACGUAUCUGUUGUAUAAUAGCGGCGUGCACAGUUUUAUUCUGAAUUUCAGUAUUGUCUAGCUAACCUAAGAUAGGUUAGCAUUUUGUUCCAGAUUAGAUAAUGAGACUGUUUUGCUGAAAGGAGUUGUUAAUGAAAAAGGGUUCCGGGGGGAAAAAUUAAACCCCAGUUCGGCGAUGAUGAAUGGAGCUACCUGCACGCACAACUCUUAAGAACGAAACACUUUGCGCAUAUGCCCAGCUACAAUGUAGGAAUGUACAAUUGGAGGAAAGUUCGUUGAAUAAUAGGAAUGAAGAGCUCUGGACAGAAUGCGUCGGUCACAAUUGUCACUCUACGAGUUGAUAUAAAAAAAAAAAGUAGCCGACGCAGAUAUGCACGAGUGGCAAAACACCAAUGAGCGAAGGAAGACUUAAGGUCUUUAGAAUUAUACUUCUUACCGUUUAAUUGUUUUGCAGUGUACUUAAAUUUGAAAAAAUCCUUUACAUUGACAACGAUUUCCCCCAGAAUUAGUUUUACGUACCACUAAUACUAACUGUUUGUAAACCCCACGAUCGUAGAUGGCAUCGUUCGAAACAAACCAACAACAAUAACAAUACGACCGCCGGAACAACUGAGGUGAACCGUACGCAGUUACGCCAGUCUCUCAACCUCUGAGGGGACAAAAAAAGGUCACAAUCUUACAUCAAAGGCGCCAUAUUUGAACGAAUCUCGCCUCGUACGUGCGCAAUAUGACUGAAGACUGCGGGGUUUCAGCCUGCACUGUGGAAAAUGCAACAGGGUGUUCUAUAAAGUUAGUUGACGAGACCGACCCUUAAGCUAAGCCAGCAAAACAAUGGCAAUGUAGACCAUAUGGCUUGCCUGUUGCAAUGGGCUGGCACUGUACUGGACGGCCUUGUUUAACGAACGUUUAUUCCGGACUGUUUCGUCCUCAUAUGCGGGAUUUCGUUAUCCCAAAAAGCAAAGGCGACACAAGCCAACCGACGCCGAGGCGAGGAGUCACGAAAACGUGUUUGCUAUGCACUGCCUUUCUAUCCGCUGGCAAAAAGAUUGGACGCGUUCCUAGAGAGUAUGAGUGCAACAUUCAAGAAACAACACGAUCAUAGGAAAAAGACGUGCAAGGUCCCCCCUUGCCGAUAUCAACUUCGGCCAGACUUUAUGGACUUGAAAGCUGCUUUCGACUCUCUCUCAAGGAAUAUAGCCUAAAGUAUCCUUGCCGACGUACGAGCUUCUGCAAAAGUACUUAGUAGCAGCGAUACUGCAAAAGAACAGCGCUAUCUAUAAUCGAUGCUGGUGUUUUGAAAUCCAGACUACAGGUUUAGCCCGGGGUGAUCACUGAAGCCCUCUCCUUUUUUCGGUUUUGCUUAUCCCGGGCAAGAUGCGGGGGUUUACAAAUAUGGUGAGGAUUUGCCUCUGUGCAGGAUUUUUACAGGAACAGUCGCUUCUAUCUGCAGCACGCUACAGCCAGACCAGAUUCCGUUGUCUCGGAAUUGAGUCUAACCAUCAGUCUAAUCAAAGCCGAGGCAACUGAAAUCAGGAGAAAUAUCAGAGUCGCGCUUUGUGACACGCUAUACCUCUCGAGUCAGCCACCGACAUAUAUAAGAUGUAUAUUCGCCCCGCUGAAGCUGCUGAUCUUUCUUCCUACCAAACCAAACCAGACCAAACUUUCUUCCUUCUUCAAAGACAUACGAAAAAAUGUAGAAAGUCUUGAUAACGUAGUCCUCAAUAUUUAUACCUACCGAUUGCACCUCUUAAACACUUUACGACAUUUCCACCUCAAGGUUUCACCAGUUGCCACUUGCGGGGUGGGCUUAAUUUAGAAACACUUAAUAAUAUUAGAGGACUUUUCCUCAAAAGAAUCUUGGAACUGCACAGGACAACCCGUAACAGGCAUGUUUACCUAGCGGCGGCUGCAGCGACGUCACCGUUUACCAACCACCUACUUCGCAGUUUUAAUCUACCCGCAACACGGACGCUUCAAAAAAGCAAGUGAGAGAAGCUGUAAAAUGGAACCGAAAGGGGCGGAGGUUGACCCCGAAUGGGGGCCAUCACAGAUACGACGUGGAAAGGAUUUGACCGGCCUAUCAAGCAUGUGGUAACAGGCAAUGCAGUACACAAUUUCUACCAUCACCUAUUGAAAAUACAGGAGUUCUGUUAUGCGUUUGUAUUAAAUCUAGGCAACCAUUUGGUUUGUAUCAUACUUUCGACUAUUCACAAACUCAAUCGCAAAACAGUCUGACGCAGUAAUUAACCGAGGAAUGGCACUUGUAUAACGCACUUAUUGGUGGGCCCUAAACAACUUACCCCGUAGACGUUGAAUCAACCAGUUUAGAAACGUUAUCUUUAGCCAAGCUUGUGAAGCAAUCAUAUAUAUGGUAUCGGAUAGGGUAUAAAGCUUAGUACGCCAAGUUGCCAUAAAUAUAUAUAUUUCGAAUUUUAUCUGGCAAAUUUAAAUAAAUGGAUUUAUCGGAUUGAUUAUUUACAAGUUUACAAACUAUUCCAUAUAUUCUUUUAAAAUCUCGUUUUUGCUAUACGAACAUCUCCUCUUUCGUUGAGACAUGUAAAAUGCGUCGCUACUGGUUCCGUGCGCUGUUUUUCCACAGCUUUUACGUAACCCUUUAAUUGAAUCCAUCCCCCUUUUGCUUAUCAUUUAUAGCCACUGAUACAUAAUUAAAGUGCAACUUCUAUAAACGUUGUGUUUGUAAAUAAUCUCAACUAACUUAUCAGCUUUAACGUUCAACAGGCUACGACCAAGAACUGCUGCCAACUUCGAAACCUCAUAUUAAAGGCGAGACAAGCAUCAUUACGUCCGCAAAUCUGCUAUAAUUUAUUAUUAAUUAAUUAAGAUUAAUGGCUUCAUUUAAGUGUUCCAGCUGUAGCGGUUCGCUAUUGUAAUGUAUUGGCUGGAGUAGUGACAGUACGGUGAUACGCACUUGUGUGUAUAUACGUGUUAAUAUUCCUAUAUAUUGUACGUAUGUGGUGCAAUAAAUGAAGGUACCCGCACGCACAUUAGCCAGGGAAGGAUUGUUUGUUAGCAGACGGGGACGUGAGUCAAUAUUCGAAGUCCAUUAUGAAGAUGCCAUUCUAACGAAAGAGCUUAGCGAUGAAAGCCAAUAAAAAACGAUUUAAAGCCGUUCUCUUGAAAAGAUAGCCGUAUGACGACUGCGGCCGGUGUAUCUCGUCGGCUAUGGAUGAAGUUACGUUCUGAGUGCGUCUGUUCGCGCGGACUUCCUUCACUAGUCACCUAUAGCUGCUCGCUGAUGAUGAUUAAUGUGCAAACAAAUCAAAAUAGAAAAAGCUAUUUUUUUGUACUUCAGGCGAAAAAAAGCCCGUUGUCACACAACUUGGGAAAGGCGCUUUUUCCCGAGUCAUCUAAUUUAGAUGUGAAACUGCUUGUGCGAUUAGGGUCUUCUCAUGUCGAGGUUGCGCUGUCACUAAGUUGUUCGUAUCACGCGUUCCUGUGCCAAAUUGUGUUUACAUUCAUUUAAUAUAAAGUAAAGGGAAACAUUUUAUACGGCCGGUGACUCUAACAGGUUCAUAUAUUAGAUAAAUAUUUUUUUUAACAGCCUAAAAUGAGUUCUAACUCUCUUGUCCUAUAUAGAGAUACCACUGUUUUUCAAAUGUACAGUUAUCAUACCCCAGGCCUUCCUGAUACCAAACCGUAGCCGGCCUCUAAUAUAUGAGUUUACGAAUCUUAUCCGAGAAGAGCACCCUAAUGGAAUUAUUGAUUGAUAUCAAAGAUUUCUGUUUCAAUCGUACGUGCGACAAGGUUACGUAUCCCUAGCAAUGUUUAACCCUGCCGGUGAGAGGCUCUUGCAAAGCUGUUUCCUGCCUGUAAUUGAUUUGACGUCGGAAAGCUUUAAAGCCUCAAUGUACCUA